AUUGAACGCUGGCGGCAGGCUUAACACAUGCAAGUCGAGCGGAGACUUCGGUCUUAGCGGCGAACGGGUGAGUAAUACCUAGGAAUCUGCCUAUUAGUGGGGGAUAACGAAUCGAAAGGUUCGCUAAUACCGCAUACGUCCUACGGGAGAAAGGGGGGAGUCUUCGGACCUCUCGCUAAUAGAUGAGCCUAGGCCGGAUUAGCUAGUUGGUAGGGUAAAGGCCUACCAAGGCGACGAUCUGUAGCUGGUCUGAGAGGAUGGCCAGCCACACUGGAACUGAGACACGGUCCAGACUCCUACGGGAGGCAGCAGUGGGGAAUAUUGCGCAAUGGGCGAAAGCCUGACGCGGCAACGCCGCGUGUGUGAUGAAGGCCUUCGGUUGUAAGCACUGUUCAGAGGGAAGAAGUGACGGGGGUAAACGACUACCGUUUUGACGGUACCUACUGAAGAAAGCACUGGCUAACUACCGUGCCAGCAGCCGUCGGUAAAGUCAGUGACU
rnacentral:rRNA from 1 species